GUGGGCAUGGUUAUGAGAGAGGCCUGCUGGGCUGGCAGGGCGUACAGGGCCCAGGGUUAGUUGGAGGGGCAUCGCCCUGUACCCCUCAUCUGCUGUCCCUGGCACUGGGAAUUAAUGUGCACUUCAGGUCUCUCUUUCUGCCCUGAAUGUAAUUGUUUUUAUUCUAGGCAUGGAAUGGCUCAUAGGUCCCUGUCUGCUCCAUGCCAAGUCAAAUGACGGCAGAACACCCUUGUGUAGUAACGGCUGUUAUCAUUGUCAACAUGCAAUGCAUUUGGGGAAAAUCCUCCCAGAAAAAUGAAACAUUUAUAUUCCUCUCAUUAGUGGCUUUUUAAUUGCUUUGCCUCUUGCAGCUGCACGAUGCUGGCAACCAGAAACUCAACUUCCCAGUCAGAAGGAAAACCAACCAAAUUACGAGCCACUAACAAAAUGUUCACUGCAUGUGUGCAUCCGCCUCUAUCCACAUGAAAUGUUGAUCUAAUUACAUAUCAAAGGCAGCGUUAGAUAACACUAACCUUCAUUAGCCAUUCAUGAGUCAUGUUGACGGCAGGGUAGCCUAGUGGUUAGAGUGUAGGGGUGGUAGGUAGCCUAGUGGUUAGAGUGUAGGGGCGGCAGGUAGCCUAGUGGUUACAGUGUAGGGGCGGUAGGUAGCCUAGUGGUUAGAGUGUAGGGGCGGCAGGUAGCCUAGUGGUUAGAGCGUAGGGGCGGUAGGUAGCCUAGUGGUUAGAGCGUUGGGGCGGCAGGUAGCCUAGUGGUUAGAGCGUAGGGGCGGCAGGUAGCCUAGUGGUUAGAGCGUAGGGGCGGCAGGUAGCCUAGUGGUUAGAGCGUAGGGGCGGCAGGUAGCCUAGUGGUUAGAGCGUAGGGGCGGCAGGUAGCCUAGUGGUUAGAGCGUAGGGGCGGCAGGUAGCCUAGUGGUUAGAGCGUAGGGGCGGCAGGUAGCCUAGUGGUUAGAGCGUAGGGACGGCAGGUAGCCUAGUGGUUAGAGUGUAGGGGCGGCAGGUAGCCUAGUGGUUAGAGAGUAGGGGUGGCAGGUAGCCUAGUG
rnacentral:lncRNA from 1 species